UUCGGAGUGAGUAGAGUGGCGCACGGGUGAGUAACGCAUGGGAACGUACCUAUAGGUUUGGGAUAACCACGGGAAACUGUGGCUAAUACCGGAUAGUCUCGCAAGAGUAAAGGAGCCCUCUGAUUUAAGGUUUCGCCAAUAGAUCGGCCCAUGUCCUAUUAGCUAGUUGGUAGGGUAAUGGCCUACCAAGGCUACGAUAGGUAGCUGGUCUGAGAGGAUGAUCAGCCACACUGGAACUGAGACACGGUCCAGACUCCUACGGGAGGCAGCAGUGGGGAAUAUUGCACAAUGGAGGAAACUCUGAUGCAGCAAUGCCGCGUGAGUGAAGAAGGCUCUUGGGUCGUAAAGCUCUUUCGAUUGGGAAGAAGGGGUUAUGUAGUUAAUACCUGCAUAAUUUGACGGUACCUAAAGAAGAAGCACCGGCUAAUUUCGUG
rnacentral:rRNA from 1 species